rnacentral:lncRNA from 1 species
AGGAUCAAAGUGGACAGUCUAUGUUGAAGAUGGAUGUUGCUGCAAAGAAAGAGUCUGUGCCCCAAAAGAAGAUUGUUGAUCCAUCUAGUAAACCUGAGGAUCAAGGUGCUCAGUCUAUGUUGAGGAUGGAUGUUCCUGCAAAGGAAGAGUCUAUGCCCCAAAAUAAGAUUGGUGAUCCAUCUAAUAAACCUGAGAAUCAAAGUGGUCGGUCUAUGUUCAAGAUGGAUGUUGCUGCAAAGAAAGAAUCCGUAUCCAAUAAGAAGAUAGUUGAUCCAUCUAGUAAACCUGAGGAUCAAGGUGCUCAGUAUGUGUUGAGGGUGAAUGUUGCUGCAAAGAAAGAGUCUGUGUCCGAAACGAAGAUUGUUGAUCCACCUAAUAAACCUG